rnacentral:rRNA from 1 species
CGGUAAUUCCAGCUCCAAUAGCGUAUACUAAAGUUGUUGCAGUUAAAAAGCUCGUAGUUGGAUUUCUGCGGGGACGGAGCGGCCGGACGCAACUUGCGUCUCGAGCUAGCGCUUUCCCCGCAUCCUGCCGCGAACCGUGCUACCAUUAGCUUGGUGGCGCUGGGGAUCGGCUCGAUUACUUUGAGAAAAAUAGAGUGUUCAAAGCAGGCCACACGCCUUGAAUAAGUUAGCAUGGAAUAAUGACUAAGGACUUCGGUUCUAUUUUGUUGGUGUUCGGGACUGAAGUAAUGAUUGAUAGGGACAGUUGGGGCGGUCUGUAUUCCAAAGCGAGAGGUGAAAUUCUUAGACCUUCGGAAGACAAACAGCUGCGAAAGCGUUCCGCAAGGAUGUUCCCUUUGAUCAAGAACGAAAGUUGGGGGAUCGAAGACGAUCAGAUACCGUCGUAGUCUCAACUAUAAACUAUACCAGCUAGGGAUCGGUCAACGUUUAAUCAUUCGACUUGAUCGGCACCUUAUGAGAAAUCAAAGCAUCUGGGUUCCGGGGGGAGUAUGGUCGCAAGGCUGAAACUUAAAGGAAUUGACGGAAGGGCACCACCAGCCGUGGAGCCUAUGGCUUAAUUUGACUCAACACGGGAAAACUUACCAGGUCCAGACAUAGUAAGGAUUGACAGAUUGAUAGCUCUUUCUUGAUUCUGUGGGUGGUGGUGCAUGGCCGUUCUUAGUUGGUGAGUGAUUUGUCUGGUUAAUUCCGUUAACGAACGAGACCCCAGCCUGCUAAAUAGCGCGGCUGAGCUUUGCUCGGUGCGAGCUUCUUAGAGGGACUAUGAUGCGCGAUAGCACAUGGAAGUUUGGGGCAAUAACAGGUCUGUGAUGCCCUUAGAUGUUCUGGGCCGCACACGGGCUACACUGGCGCCUGCAACGAGCAUAUCAGCUGGCCCGAGAGGGUCUUGGCUAAUCUUUUGAACCGGCGCCGUGCUUGGGAUUGACCAUUGCAAUUGUUGGUCAUGCAACGAGGAAUGCCUUGUAAACGCGAGUCAUCAGCUCGCAUUGAAUACGUCCCUGCCCUUUGUACACACCGCCCGUCGCUCCUACCGAUGAAUGUUCCGAUGAAAUUUUCGGAGAGCGCCAGAGAACGGGGCUCCGCCUUGCAGAUCUGGAGGCUCAAAGUCACUUAAAUCUGAACAUUUCGAGGAAGGAGAAGUCGUAACAAGGUAACC